CCUACGGGUGGCAGCAGUGAGGAAUAUUGGUCAAUGGCCGGAAGGCUGAACCAGCCAAGCCGCGUGAAGGACGAAGGUGCCAAGCAUUGUAAACUUCUUUUGUCAAGGGACAAAAUCAGGCUCGCGAGCCUGACCGAGGGUACUUGAAGAAAAAGCAUCGGCUAACUCCGUGCCAGCAGCCGCGGUAAUACGGAGGAUGCGAGCGUUAUCCGGAUUUAUUGGGUUUAAAGGGUGCGUAGGCGGACUGUUAAGUCAGCGGUAAAAGCCCGGGGCUCAACCCCGGCGAGCCGUUGAAACUGGUGGUAGUGAGAUGCAGAGAGGGAUGGGGAAGGGGAAGUGUAGCGGUGAAAGGUUUAGAUAUGGCGAAGAACUCCGAUUGCGAAGGAAGAAUACCGGGGGGGAUAUGACGCUGAGGAACGAAAGCGUGGGUAUCGAAAAGGAUUAGAUACCUGAGUAGU
rnacentral:rRNA from 1 species